AUCAGGAGACAAAAGCUAAGAUUUAUUGAAGCAAACAAAAACCAAAUUAGGGAAGUUAAAGUUGCAAUGUGUAGUUCUAGGAAAUAUCUGUACCGACCCCACACUUUUCCCCACAUUUUUUUUCCAAGACCCCCCUCCCUCUGGAAAUUUCAAUUAAGCUUCAUACAUUUCUUUAAACUGUUUGGUCUUAGAGAAACUCCCCCCCCCCCCCCCAAGAAAUUCCAACUUUGUCUGUGGGGAGCAUGCAUGUUAAUGGCAUAAAAGAUAGAGCCCAGUUAAACAAGAGUUAGCAACUAGUAAGUAGACCUGAGUAGACCUUGUCUUCUUCUUUGACAUGUUUUUUUCCAGAUAUGUAUGGUCUAGAAGAAGGUGGCAUAGCAGUGACAUUCUUUGUGCUUUAUGUGAUUGGUUGGAAGCCCCAUGAAUCCCAGCAAAAGGCUGCCACACGUGGCUCUGCAACGGCAAGUUUUGGUGACUUAGCGAGUCUGAACAAACCAAAGGAAUAAAACUAUCAUGUUCCACAGAUGAGUGCUACAUUCUGCCAGUAGGUUCAUCACAAUGCCUGGAGUACAUGUAGCCAUGCCUACUUUCUCAAAAGACUUGUUUUAUGCCACCAUCUUUGCUCCAGAGAAUAUCAGCUGCAAGGGCUGUUGUGAACAUAAAAUAAUGGAUGUGGACUAAAGAAAACUAUUUUUCUGCACAUGCUAAUUUUACUGCUUUCCUAACAGUGAUCAAUGACAAAAUAUCUUUGUGCAGAUAUUAUGCUUUGUCAUGCAGACAGGUGAUGGGAAUUAAAAAGACUGUGUUAAAUUUACGUCAGGACCAAAUUCUUUCGCUCAAUAUCAUAGCCCCUGGUAAUGCUUUUAUCAGUCAAGGGACUGUGGCCACAGAUGAGUUUCUUGCACUAACAAAUGUCUGCCUGUUGUUUCAAUGCACAAGUUUCGUGUCCUACCUUGGUCUCUGAGGUUUUUCUUAAUUUCUCAUCUCAUGCAGAGAAAAAUCAAGAAAAACAUCUGGGACCAGGGUAUUCACAUCCCGACACCCUUUGAAAUUCAUUGCUAUUAAUCCCAGAAGUCUGUUGAAAUGGCACUUUUUCAGGCUGUUGCAUGCACCGUUGGUUUCUUUCAUGGAUUCCAAAACGUGAUCACGUGAUGAUUAAUUUCAUGAUGGUGCGAUGAGUGAAUCUCCUGCCGUGAGCCAAGUUGCUGCAGUUUGUUUGCACUUUUGUUGCGUUUUGCCUUUUCUAGCAAGAUACAAUUCAAGAUAUGAUACUGAGAGGAGUUUGACAAAUGCAAAAUCCAUCGCAUGGAUAAGAUUUGCCUCAAAUUUGGUACUUUUGAGGAAUUUGCAACUGCUCUGCUGCAAACUGUGGCCAUCUGCGCCAAGAGAUGUUUGUCAUCAUAUGAUCACUUUUUUUAAUUCAUGGCUGAAACCAAUAGUACAUGAAAUGGCCUGGGAAAAAAAGCCAUUUCGACAGACAUCAGGGAUUAAUAGUAAAAUUAAAAUUAAUAUCUUUUUCUUCACUUUCUCUGUUGAAUCAAUGAGUGCCCUUGUGACUUCUUCAUACAAAAUACCAAUAGUUUAUUUGAUAUCAAAAAACAAAAAUAACAAUUGCAUCACUUACAAUAAUUGUGAUAGCUACAUUUUGUUACUUCAUAUGUACUGGAAAAGACUGAUAUAAAAAAUCCCAGAAUAUAUACAAUUAUUAUUCAUGAUCAUGUAAACACAACAAAAUAUGUGUUUUAAAUAUUAUGGGGUCAUAAAAUUAAUGUGGACUACUUGUAGACAAGUAAGUAUUUAACAAGGGUUAGUCAAAACCUGGCUGCAAAAAUAAUCUUCUUACUAACUCACUAGCUAUUUUAAUACCAAAUCUUAACCUACAGAGAUUCAUUCUGAGUGAUAUUUUGGCUUCUAAUUUGCAUGUUAAAAAUUGGUUUUAUUACAAAUUAAUCUAAACCAUGUUAGAAGCAUUCUGCAAAGUUGUACGUUAGUUUGCAUAAGCUGGUAUAUAUUUAUCAGGACUGAAAUGCAUGAUAUUAACUUCAACACUGCUGAAAUCCUUUCAUAUGCAUUCCUAGUAUUGAUACUGUAAAGAAUGUAAACUUGUAACUGCAACUUAUCAGAAUCGAAAAUUCUACCUAUGGUAUGGGAAAUUAAUGAAAACUCAAUUUGGAAAAUCCUUAGUUGAUCGAUUAAAAUAAAAGACAUGGUUGAUGAACUAA